GUCCUUUUGAUUUUUAUUUAAGGUCUGACCUGCCCACUGAUUUAUUUAAUGGCCGCGGUAUUUUGACCGUGCAAAGGUAGCAUAAUAAUUUGUCUUUUAAUUGAAGGCUUGUAUGAAUGGUUGGACGAGAAAAUUACUUUCUUUAUAAUAAAAUUAUUAAUUUUAUUUUUUAGUUAAAAAGCUAAAAUUUUGUUGUAGGACGAGAAGACCCUAUAGAACUUUAUAUUUAUUUUUAUAUUAAUAUUUUUGGUUAAUAAUAUAUUGUAUUUUUAUAUAUAUUUUGUUGGGGCGACAAGAAAAUUUAUUUAACUUUUUUUUAUUAAUUUCAUCAAUUAAUGUAUUAAUGAUCCUUUAUUAUGGAUAAUUAGAAUAAGUUACCUUAGGGAUAACAGCGUAAUUUUUUUGGAGAGUUCUUAUCGAUAAAAAAGUUUGCGA
rnacentral:rRNA from 1 species